AACGAACGCUGGCGGCAUGCCUAACACAUGCAAGUCGAACGAGACCUUCGGGUCUAGUGGCGCACGGGUGCGUAACGCGUGGGAACCUGCCCUUAGGUUCGGAAUAACUCCCCGACAGGGGUGCUAAUACCGGAUAAUGUCUUCGGACCAAAGAUUUAUCGCCUUUGGAUGGGCCCGCGUUGGAUUAGCUUGUUGGUAGGGUAAAAGCCUACCACGGCGACGAUCCAUAGCUGGUCUGAGAGGAUGAUCAGCCACACUGGGACUGAGACACGGCCCAGACUCCUACGGGAGGCAGCAGUGGGGAAUAUUGGACAAUGGGCGAAAGCCUGAUCCAGCAAUGCCGCGUGAGUGAUGAAGGCCUUAGGGUUGUAAAGCUCUUUUACCCGGGAUGAUAAUGACAGUACCGGGAGAAUAAGCUCCGGCUAACUCCGUG
rnacentral:rRNA from 1 species